rnacentral:tRNA from 1 species
GGAGAGGUACCGAAGUGGUCAUAACGGCGCGGAUUUGAAAUCCGUUGAGGGCGGCAACGCCCACGUGGGUUCGAAUCCCACCCUCUCCG